ensembl:lincRNA
CCCUAGAGAGCAGGCACUGAGGAGCCGGAGGGGGGCUGCUAAUGCCCUUGCCGGUUUCAUUCCAGAGCUGAUGAGUACCAGGCCGCCCAGGCCACUCUGGCCAGAACCUUCCAGGGUCGGUUUGACAAAUUCAUGGUCCCCUGCGCUGUUGCCAGCGGUGACGUCAAAGACAAGAGGGAACUGGAACCCCUGAGCUUCAGCCCGCACAACAUGCUGUACCUGGAGCUGUGGUGUCCUGCAGUGGCUCCAGCUGUCGUGGUGACCUCAGACAGAGGCAAAACUGUCAUCGACUUCGGCCACAUUGCUGUGGGGCAUCACAGCAUCAAGAAGGUCUCCCUCCAGAACAUCUGCCUGGAGGACUUGGCCGUGGACUUCUCUGUACUGAACCCCCAAGGCCCCUUCUUCCUGGUGAACACCCCCAGCAGGCUGCGCGCUGGUGAGACCCGGGUCCUGGCACUGUCCUUCUCACCCCACGAGAGUGUCCUGGCUCAGGAAAGGCUGGAGGUCGUCACCAAGAGAGGUGCGCUCCCCCUCACCCUGCUGGGCACCGGCGUGGCAUCCCUGAUCACGUGCUCCCUUGAUGGCGAUGUCCUGGACAUGGGCUACGUGCUCGCCAGAGAGUCCAUCUCCAUGGGCUUCAAGCUGCAGAACGACUCCUUGCUGCCCAUCAAGUUCUCCGUGCAGCUGGACAGCCUCUCAGGCUCCAGGGCCCCCACCCAGAAGGAGCUGCCACAGUUCCUCACCACUCAGCCCCAGAGGACAGACAUCGUGGGCACACAGAACCACAGCGGCCAGAGCGUGUUCAGCGUGACCCCGGUCACCGGCAUCAUGGACCCUGGGAGAGCGCAGGACUUCACCGUGACCUUCAGCCCCGACCACGAGAGUCUGUACUUCUCCGACCGGCUCCAGGUGGUGCUCUUUGAAAAGAAAGUCUCUCACCAGAUCCAGCUGAAGGGCGCCGCCCGCGAACACAUGAUGUUCGUGGAGGGCGGGGACCCCCUGGAUGUGCCCGUGGAGUCCCUGACCAUGAUCCCAGCCUCUGACACUGAGCACAGAGAAGAGGCUGAGGAGCUAAAGCCUGUCCUGCUGACCCUGAACUACAUCCAGCUCAACACAGACCAGCCAGCCCCACCUGCUGCCAGGGAGCUGCGGGUGGGCUGCAUCCGGACCACACAACCGUCUCUAAAGAAGACUGUGGAGUUUGGCCUGGACGGCAUCGCAUGGCUGCAACACAAAGGUUUCUCCAUCGAGCCAUCCAGGGGCUCCGUGGACCGAGGCCAGACCAAGACCAUCAGUGUCUCCUGGGCACCACCUGCUGACUUUGAUCCAGACCAGCCGCUCAUGGUGUCCACCCUACUGCAGCUCAGGGGGGACGUGAAGGAGAGCUACAAAGUCAUCUUUGUAGCCCACGUGGUGACAGCCCUCUAGGGCCACAGAAGCCUCUCCCAGCCUGAGACCCUCCUCCCACAGCAGAUGUCCUCCCCAGCCAGGCCAGGCCAACUUGACAAGACCCAGGCUCCCAGUCCCACAAACAUGGCCACUUCCAGCCAGCCCAGAGCCCAAGAGCAUCCCUUCCCUGAACCCAGUCCAGUUUAUGGCUGGUUCCUACUCAGAAAAGCCCCAGUCCCAGGACCCAGUGAACUUGAGGGGCCUCAAGCAAGCUGCCCCAUGGACCUUUAAUAAAUGCUCUGUGAGCCAAUAUGUACAGCGUGCAGUGUGGAUGGCAAGCACAGGACUCAAGGCAGGACAGAGCCUGGGGAAGCACCCCCACACAUAGUCCAUAAUGAAGCAAGAUGUGGGGCAAGGACCUAGGGAAGGUGGAGUCGUAACAGGCAUCCCUGGAGAGACCCUUGGGAGCCCCCAAACCCACCAGCACAGGGUGCAAGGCUGGAGUUGAGACUCCCCAGACUGGAGAGAUGCAGGGAGGAGGGGAAGGGACAGGAUUGGAGCCCAGGGCCCCUAGCUUCUCCUGAUGAUCCCAAGGAAGGGCUAAGCAAGUGUUGGGCCAUUUCACCCACUUCCUUCCUGAGCUCAGCUGGGGCCAGGCAGGUCCAGUUUGUGAAUAUGAGUGUCCACCUGAUCAAAAAAAGUCUGGGUUCUGCCCUCAGGGCCUGACCCACCCUCCAAGGGACCAGACAAACCCAACUGUGAGUGGCUCCUGCUCUCCACCCCACCCCAGGCUGUGCUUGUUCCUCAUCUCCCCAAGCACCUACCUGCCUGGCCCUUUGCUAAGCACCGCCCACCCACCCUGCAGCCAGGAGAAACUGGCCCUUCCUGGCCUGGGGGUGGAGGGGCUGGGAAUCCUUUUGCUUUCCUGGCACUGCUGGGCUCCUGAGGUACUGGCAGCUGGCUUUGCCUCUCACCAGCCAGUGGCACUGAUCUGGAGUGGUCUGGGGGACUUCUGUCCAGGGCCCCUGGAGGAAGCAGACCCAGCCAGGCACUUGCUGCUUUCCCUAGAGCUGACUAUAUGCAGCCCCAGACCCUUGCUGUGUCAGGUGGAAAGGCAGGAAGUCCCCAGGUGGGGAGGGCCACAGAGGCCCUGCCUGGGCCCAGCCCAGCCCAGUCUCCACCCCACUCGGGUACUGGUCCUCCAGGACCAAGCACAGCCAAGACAGGACUGGCAGGACUGGGAGGAGGGAGGGGCCAAGCUCCAAACUGGGGCUGGGCGGGCAGGCAGGGGCCCUGCAAGCUGAGUGAAAGUCGUCCCUGCGGGUGCAGGACAGCUGUAGGCAGAGCCCUGCCGGCCCUGGUCACUUCCCCUCUAGGGAGACACAGAGCAGGUGUCCACACGUGCAUGUGCUGAACACAGAGAGGAAAGACAGGUGGGCGGGGCGGCAAGGCAAGCAGGGGGCAGAGCAGCACAGUGAGAGGGCGGCAGGAGCCCGGGCCCUCGCCAAGCCGGAAUGAGAAGCAACCAGGCUGAGGGAGAUGAGCUGGCUCCUCGAGCAGGACGAGGGCUGCAAAGGAGAGUGUUUUUGGAAAGCCGUCUGCAUCCAGCGCCUCAAUGACCCUGACUGAAAGAGUCUCCUCACCCCUGUUGCGGGGAUCGCUGACGGGUAUGAGGAUGAACCCCAUUUGCCCAGUGAGAUCACCCCCAGUAUGACUCCAACACAGUUUUCCAGGAGAGCUGGGGUGGGUUGGAGCAGGCCACGCCCCGCCUGGUGCAGGACCGCGUGAUCAGGCUGGAAGACCCUGAGCCGGUGGGGGAAGUGGGCGGGGCCUCCGGGACCGGGGCGUGGUUACAGAUGGGGCCUCCCAGGGACCGGUUCUCUGGUGGUCUGGGAGUUCUUCAUGGGGCGGGGCCUCGCGUGGGCACCACCUGAUGUUGGCGGGGACAUGGCUAAUGAGGCGGGGGCAUCGCGGCGGCGGGCGUGGUUUGGGCGUGGCCUCCUUUGCCCGGUCGGGGGCGGGGCCGCAUAAAGUCGUGCGGGGCGGCCUCAGUGCUGCCGUCUGGCAGAGCAUGGCCUC